AAGGCUGAGGCGUGAUGACGAGGCACUACGGUGCUGAAGCAACAAAUGCCCUGCUUCCAGGAAAAGCCUCUAAGCAUCAGGUAACAUCAAAUCGUACCCCAAACCGACACAGGUGGUCAGGUAGAGAAUACCAAGGCGCUUGAGAGAACUCGGGUGAAGGAACUAGGCAAAAUGGUGCCGUAACUUCGGGAGAAGGCACGCUGAUAUGUAGGUGAAGUCCCUCGCGGAUGGAGCUGAAAUCAGUCGAAGAUACCAGCUGGCUGCAACUGUUUAUUAAAAACACAGCACUGUGCAAACACGAAAGUGGACGUAUACGGUGUGACGCCUGCCCGGUGCCGGAAGGUUAAUUGAUGGGGUUAGCGGUAACGCGAAGCUCUUGAUCGAAGCCCCGGUAAACGGCGGCCGUAACUAUAACGGUCCUAAGGUAGCGAAAUUCCUUGUCGGGUAAGUUCCGACCUGCACGAAUGGCGUAAUGAUGGCCAGGCUGUCUCCACCCGAGACUCAGUGAAAUUGAACUCGCUGUGAAGAUGCAGUGUACCCGCGGCAAGACGGAAAGACCCCGUGAACCUUUACUAUAGCUUGACACUGAACAUUGAGCCUUGAUGUGUAGGAUAGGUGGGAGGCUUUGAAGUGUGGACGCCAGUCUGCAUGGAGCCGGCCUUGAAAUACCACCCUUUAAUGUUUGAUGUUCUAACGUUGGCCCCUGAUCGGGGUUGCGGACAGUGUCUGGUGGGUAGUUUGACUGGGGCGGUCUCCUCCUAAAGAGUAACGGAGGAGCACGAAGGUUGGCUAAUCCUGGUCGGACAUCAGGAGGUUAGUGCAAUGGCAUAAGCCAGCUUGACUGCGAGCGUGACGGCGCGAGCAGGUGCGAAAGCAGGUCAUAGUGAUCCGGUGGUUCUGAAUGGAAGGGCCAUCGCUCAACGGAUAAAAGGUACUCCGGGGAUAACAGGCUGAUACCGCCCAAGAGUUCAUAUCGACGGCGGUGUUUGGCACCUCGAUGUCGGCUCAUCACAUCCUGGGGCUGAAGUAGGUCCCAAGGGUAUGGCUGUUCGCCAUUUAAAGUGGUACGCGAGCUGGGUUUAGAACGUCGUGAGACAGUUCGGUCCCUAUCUGCCGUGGGCGCUGGAGAACUGAGGGGGGCUGCUCCUAGUACGAGAGGACCGGAGUGGACGCAUCACUGGUGUUCGGGUUGUCAUGCCAAUGGCACUGCCCGGUAGCUAAAUGCGGAAGAGAUAAGUGCUGAAAGCAUCUAAGCACGAAACUUGCCCCGAGAUGAGUUCUCCCUGACUCCUUGAGAGUCCUGAAGGAACGUUGAAGACGACGACGUUGAUAGGCCGGGUGUGUAAGCGCAGCGAUGCGUUGAGCUAACCGGUACUAAUGAACCGUGAGGCUUAACCUUACAACGCCGAAG
rnacentral:rRNA from 1 species